UACGUAGGGUGCAAGCGUUAAUCGGAAUUACUGGGCGUAAAGCGUGCGUAGACGGUUAUUUAAGUCGGGUGUGAAAGCCCCGGGCUCAACCUGGGAAUUGCAUUCGAGACUGAAUAGCUAGGGUACGGUAGAGGGAAGCGGAAUUUCCGGUGUAGCGGUGAAAUGCGUAGAUAUCGGAAGGAACAUCAGUGGCGAAAGCGGCUUCCUGGACCAGUACCGACGUUCAGGCACGAAAGCGUGGGGAGCAAACAGG
rnacentral:rRNA from 1 species